UUGGUCUGCAUUUAUCCAUGGGCAAGUAAUGUAUGAAGGAGCAUUGGCCAUUGUUGACCGGGCUUGUUUUAUCUAUUUUUGGGGACAGGAUCUUGGGGCCAGAUUCGGUACAGAGAAGCUCUGGAUGUUAUCAAAAUAGCACGCACGAAUCCGCUCAGUGGGUAUUUUAAUUUUCUCAUGGACAAGCAAGCAAUCAAGCAACUCUCCCUGGGCAGUUAACAGCUGCUAACUGUCUCGGAAUAACUAUAUAUACACAUACAAAAGGUGAUAACUCAUUGACAUGUCGUUGGGAUACUUUCACUUAAAAUGAAGAUAUACCACAUCCAUUAACCACACGCAAGCAUACGUCCCACUUCCCGCUCAUGCUUAGAGACCGGUGUUGGGGAAUCGGAGGGCACCCGGCAAUUCUGGAUUUCUGAUCAAUAAUAGAAUUGCACAUCCGUCACGUAGGCAUCCCUCGGUUAUCCUCAAGGAGCUGUCCGCCGUUGCCGUUGUCGCCGACUUGAACGCCCCACACCCUCCAUCGAACAUCUUCAAUAACAUCCGCCCUAAGCCAUAUUCCUUUGAAGGUCUUCCUGCAGCGUUUUUCUCCCGUAGCGAGUUUUGUUCGGUCAUCAUUUGAGUCCAGCCAUGCGAAAAGGAGUCUGAGUUGCCACAGCCGAUCCCUGACCGUAUCAUCCCCAUCGCCUUGACCAGUUGCAGCGUCCACCAAAUGCUGGACCGUCUUUUCAAGCACGAGCCUCGUAUCCACUGCACUUGGACGCAGCCAGGAAACUGGCCAAAUAAUAAUUUCGGAGUGGUCCCUGGCAUAAAUCUCAAUAGGCUGUUGAGAUGGUACUGAGGGUAUCACUAGCGCCUUGUCACCCAUAUCAAGAGGUCGGAAGGUGCGAAGAUUGAAAAUCCACUCCCAGAGGUGGCGUGCGGGGAAUCGGACUUGAAUCGAUGAUUUUCCUUGGGAAUACAAGAUAGGUGCUGCUGCAUUCGGCGUAGUGUUGACUGCCCGAGAGUAACCAGGGGAGGAAGAUGAAGGGAUAUCCUGGACGUCGCUCAAUGCCAUCAGGGAUGAGGAAAAUUCCGAGGUAGAGGAACCAGUAUAAACAGCUCGCCUACGGAGAUAAACAGAUUGGUCACCCAAGCGGAAUUUGUCUCGGAGAUCGGGGUUGUCAGCAAAGUCGAGAGUCAGAUCCCAGUGAUCCGGGCUUUGUAUCUUCACAGUAGCGAGAUCAUCUAUAUUAGGGAGUAGGCAUGGUGCUGUUGUAAGCUGACUUUCGCCUGUUUUGAGCGUUAGAGAUACCGGUAUUGUUACCGCACGCCGUGUGUCGAGGUCGCGCGGAACAAGACACCUUGGCUCUGCCGCGAGGACCCACAGAUGGCGAAAGGCUUGGAGAUGGCAUUUGUUGUCAAGAACAGUGGUGGGAAAUACGGGAUAAAAGGAGCAA
rnacentral:sRNA from 1 species